rnacentral:rRNA from 1 species
CCUACGGGGGGCUGCAGUGGGGAAUAUUGCACAAUGGGCGCAAGCCUGAUGCAGCCAUGCCGCGUGUGUGAAGAAGGCCUUCGGGUUGUAAAGCACUUUCAGCGGGGAGGAAGGCGGUGAGGUUAAUAACCUCAUCGAUUGACGUUACCCGCCGAAGAAGCACCGGCUAACUCCGUGCCAGCAGCCGCGGUAAUACGGAGGGUGCAAGCGUUAAUCGGAAUUACUGGGCGUAAAGCGCACGCAGGCGGUCUGUCAAGUCGGAUGUGAAAUCCCCGGGCUCAACCUGGGAACUGCAUUCGAAACUGGCAGGCUAGAGUCUUGUAGAGGGGGGUAGAAUUCCAGGUGUAGCGGUGAAAUGCGUAGAGAUCUGGAGGAAUACCGGUGGCGAAGGCGGCCCCCUGGACAAAGACUGACGCUCAGGUGCGAAAGCGUGGGGAGCAAACAGGAUUAGAUACCCCGGUAGUC